AGGGGUAUAGCUUAGUGGUAGAGUGUUUGUCUAGCAUGCACAAGGACCUGGGUUCAAUCUCUAGUACCACAA
rnacentral:tRNA from 1 species